rnacentral:tRNA from 1 species
AUAAAACUUAAACCUUUAUACUCAGAGGUUCAACUCCUCUCCCUAACA